GGGGCCGAUUAGGAUUCGACGCCGGUAGCGAAGCUCUAGGUGCAUGCCGACUUGGUAACAGAAGUCGUAAAUCCACUGUUGCAACUUUCUAUAGUUGCCAAUGACGAAAACUACGAGGG
rnacentral:tmRNA from 1 species